rnacentral:rRNA from 1 species
AUACGGAGGGGGCUAGCGUUGUUCGGAAUUACUGGGCGUAAAGGGCGCGUAGGCGGUCGGGUGUGUCUGGCGUGAAAGCCCCUGGCUCAACCAGGGAAUUGCGUCUUAAACUGCCCGACUCGAGUCCGGGAGAGGAGAGUGGAAUUCCCAGUGUAGCGGUGAAAUGCGUAGAUACUGGGAGGAACACCGGUGGCGAAGGCGGCUCUCUGGACCGGUACUGACGCUGAGGCGCGAAAGCUAGGGGAGCAAACAGGAUUAGAAACCCCAGUAGUCC